GAAAGCGCAGCCAUGCUUUGCAGAGGCUACAGCAUCGCUCUCAUUGGUAGUAUCAGCUUCUCGCCAAACGGAGUCUUUGCUUGUCCGCCGCUACGCCGAAAGGAACCGGGAAUACAAGCGACUGCCUCCGUGAUGUAAAGACCUGCAGUGAAGUAUUAAAGCUAGAAUGAAGUGAGAGAAACGGAUAAAUAUUAGCAGAGCACAGUGUUCUGGGAUCCACCAUAUGGCGUGGACCAUAUCAUGGUGCAUUAUGGGAUAAUGGAGGACUUUAACGCUUUCUGCAGUUUUGGACAAAGCAGUCGACGGGAAAGCACCACACGGAGUCCUUUUUCGCCUGCACAAGCGGCCUGGGACGUAUCAUUAUUUUGCACGCAAAACCACCCACUGGCUGUUUUGCGUUUAAGUCACCCCUGUAACCUAACCUCUAGUUCCUCCAAUUGAAUGUUUUUACAUAAUAAGGUAGGCCUGCACGACAACCGGGAGAGGAUUUCAUCUCUUUGGACCCGUGCUUGGAAUUUUUAUUUUUCCAUUUUGGGCCAAACUUGACAUCCCAGUGCAGUUUUCAGUCUCACAACGCAGGCCUCAAAGGCUGUGAGAUUAUUUGAUUAUAUUUGUAAUGACAGGUUUUACGGAGAUGUUGAGGUGUCUGGUCGUUUCCCACAGCAGUGAAUGCAGCUGCUCACACACAUGCAGGCAAACACACACACACACGCACACACACAGACAAGCGGGUUGUGUCUCUCCGUGUUCACAGCGGACCUUGAUUUAAUGUCUUACAAUUAAGGCACGCGGUGAAUGCCAAGAGAUGGUCCUUCUUUCUUCAGAUGUCUGCAAAUCCAAGGAACACAUCCCAUCUUUUAAUGGCAUUUUUUUAAACAGUAUUAGUGACGCUCUCACAGUAAAGGUUUGCUUCUGUCGUGUCAGACUGUGACACAUUUACGCAUGUACUGUUUCCUUCCCCCUCGGUCCAACAAUAAAGUGAAUCCACACAACCA